rnacentral:lncRNA from 1 species
GUCAUCCCAACUUUCUUCCUCUUCCACUCCCCGUUUUCCUUAUAUCACUGUCCUUUUCGAUCUUGUCCUCUCCAUACUAUUAAUAAGCCAAUCUCUGUCAGCACAGUGGCAUAAGCAUAAUCUCACUAUUUCCGUAAUGUGUAAUGUCAAACAGAGUAUAAGACUAUAAACCAGUAAAUAUUGUAUCUACAAUAGGAUGAUGUUUUCCAGAUUGAUUCCAACAACUCAAAAAUAAACUAAAAGGUAAUGAUGUAUUUCCUUGAGCUUGCCUUCAAGUUUCUCAAAUAGCUCAAAUGACUGGCAAAUAAAUAUGGCAAGAUCCAUGUAAAGGGUCAAUGUAUGUACACCUUAAUAAUAUCUAGCCUAGAAGUGUUCGUUUAAGUUUCACUGAUGCCAUAGACAUGCCAAUAGGAUGGUGUAAACAAAAUAGUUUCCUCAAAAAAGAAAAACGUCCCAGAAGAAGCUACAGUGAUUCUAGCAAACCUGCCACUCUAUCUCACCAAACUGUUUUCUUAAUUGGUUGACCUCAUCUUGAACUUGAAGAGUAAAAACAAUAUUAACUAUCUAUUGUGCUAAAAACACAUAGAAAAUAACAGAAAUAGUAUUUACUUCAAGACUACCAUGUUGUAGUUCUGUAGGAAAAUUUGCAGGAAUCAGUCUGAGGAUUGAUGCAAGAGCUUCACAUUUGCCUUUUAUUUCACACCUCGGUAUCUCUGUCAUCACUCUGCAGUUUUCAUGACAGCGGCUUCGUUGUCCCAUUCAUGCAGUUGCAUACAUCCACGAAGGAGGGAAAUAUCACAGUUGUAGAAAGAAAACGUGCGUC